AUCACUUCUCGGCCUUUUGGCUAAGAUCAAGUGUAGUAAGAGCCGGUCUAAAAUAGUUACAUGGAUUAAAACACCUACA
ensembl:snRNA Rnu2-34 RNA, U2 small nuclear 34